GUGUGAAACGUUAAUAUGUUCUGUGUGUGUGUGAAACGUUAAUAUGUUUGUGUGUGUGUGUGUGUGAAACGUUAAUAUGUUCUGUGUGUGUGUGAAACGUUAAUAUGAGGCAUGUUCUGUGUGUGUGUGUGUGUGUGAAACGUUAAUAUGUUCUGUGUGUGUGUGAAACGUUAAUAUGAGGCAUGUUCUGUGUGUGUGUGUGAAACGUUAAUAUGAGGCAUGUUGUGUGUGUGUGUGUGUGUGUGUGUGUGUGUGUGUGUGUGUGUGUGUGUGUGUGUGUGUGUGUGUGUGUGUGUGUGUGUGUGUGUGUGUGUGUGUAACGUUAAUAGGAGGCAUGUUCUGUGUGUGUGUGAAACGUUAAUAUGUUCCAUGUGUGUGUUCGUGCCGGUCUGUCUCCCGUGACGUUGCAUGUUGUCCACGGAACCACAGUACUACUACAGUUGCUUAGGAACGCGUUGACGUUGUAAAAUGACCAGAUUGGUGCCCAUUCAACACAUCUAAUCUAACAAAAGAGGAUCAAAGACCAGAUUGGUGCCCAUUCAACACAUCUAAUCUAACAAAAGAGGAUCAAAGACCAGAUUGGUGCCCAUUCAACACAUCUAAUCUAACAAAAGAGGAUCAAAGACCAGAUUGGUGCCCAUUCAACACAUCUAAUCUAACAAAAGACGAUCAUUUGUCAUAUCUGUCACGGUGUAGUUACUUAAGUCCUGAUAUAUUGGACUGUUUUCCCUUUUUCAGGUUUAGAAGAAGAGGUGACCGCUAAAUGCUAACUCCCAUCCGUAUAAGCUGGUAGCAUAGCUAGCAUACAGAAAUCGUUGAUGGUAGUAGUCAUGUCGUUUAAAAAAACAAAAAAACGAAUGCACUUGAUUGGUGACGAUGACAUGAGUUGAUGUUAACGUCCACACAAGCAUUAUACCUCAACAUCGUGUGAAAUAGACAAUAGCUUAAAUGUAGGCUAAUUUAGCUUUGGGGUAGGAGGGGGGGGGCAAUGAGGAAGCUUAGGGAUCUUAACCCCCCGACGCGUUUCCAUGGCAACGGUGUUCCCAUUGUUUUGAUUUAGCUUUGGGGUGGGGGGGGAGGGACAAUGAGGAAGCUUAGGGAUCUUAACCCCCGACGCGUUUCCAUGACAACGGCGUUCCCAUUGUUUUGAUUUAGGUAGGGGGGGAGGGACAAUGAGGAAGCUUAGGGAUCUUAACCCCCCGACGCGUUUCCAUGGCAACGGCGUUCCCAUUGUUUUUGUUCAGUUGGAUUUAGCUCGUGACUGCAUCUGUAACCAACGACGUGUAUAUAAACUCUGGACUGUUGAUUGCUUUGUUUUGGCCAUUUAGAGGCUUUAAGCCACUGGUCGGCCAUUUUGACAGUCCUCCAUAGGAUUGAAUGGAAUUCUACAGCAUUUCAAUUAAAGGUUUCGAGGACCAAAUUACAUGUAUUUCAGUACUUGUUGUUGUUGUAGUUUGGGACAGUAACAUUAGUAUUUUUAAGGGGGAGGGGGGGUGGGGACGUUUAUUUAUUUUUAGUGUAGCUCACAUGUGUAAAAUGAUACAUUUUAAGGUGUUUAAUGGAAUAAACGUGUCAGAAAUGAA